rnacentral:rRNA from 1 species
AGUGAACGCUGGCGGUAGGCCUAACACAUGCAAGUCGAACGGCAGCACAGUAAGAGCUUGCUCUUACGGGUGGCGAGUGGCGGACGGGUGAGGAAUACAUCGGAAUCUACUUUUUCGUGGGGGAUAACGUAGGGAAACUUACGCUAAUACCGCAUACGACCUACGGGUGAAAGCAGGGGAUCUUCGGACCUUGCGCGAUUGAAUGAGCCGAUGUCGGAUUAGCUAGUUGGCGGGGUAAAGGCCCACCAAGGCGACGAUCCGUAGCUGGUCUGAGAGGAUGAUCAGCCACACUGGAACUGAGACACGGUCCAGACUCCUACGGGAGGCAGCAGUGGGGAAUAUUGGACAAUGGGCGCAAGCCUGAUCCAGCCGUACCGCGUGGGUGAAGAAGGCCUUCGGGUUGUAAAGCCCUUUUGUUGGGAAAGAAAAGCAGCAGGUUAAUACCCCGCUGUUCUGACGGUUCCCAAAGAAUAAGCACCGGCUAACUUCGUG